rnacentral:rRNA from 1 species
ACGCUCGACACCUACGGGAGGCAGCAGGUGGGGAAUAUUGCACAAUGGGGGAAACCCUGAUGCAGCGACGCCGCGUGGAGGAAGAAGGUCUUCGGAUUGUAAACUCCUGUUGUUAGGGGAAAAAGAGGAUGGUACCCAACAAGGAAGUGACGGCUAACUACGUGCCAGCAACCGAGGUAAUCUGAGCGGGCUGGCAAGGC